AGGCGAAGCUUAGAGGUCGCCGGU
rnacentral:siRNA from 1 species